AUGUGGCCCAUUAGCAAUUUUGAGGUAUUUGAAGCAAAGUUGACUUUUCAAAAUUCCCAAAAAUUUCCCAACUUCCACAAGGCAUAUCUUGCUCAAUUUUUAAGCUUUGAUCAUGUUCUUGGACAUUUUGGAAAGGUCUUGAAGUCCUAUAACCAAUGCCUUUGGUCCCAUGUCAUUUUGAUUUACCAAUCUCAAGUUAUGCCUACUCAAAAUGUCAAACCGGAGUUGAUGACAAAAUUAAUCCGUUUCAAGAGAGCGUCGAGCCAGGCCGAAGUUAUUUAUCGUGGAAAAGAUUCUUGA